GGUGAGUAACACGUGGAUAACCUACCUACAAGACUGGGAUAACUUCGGGAAACCGGAGCUAAUACCGGAUAAUAUUUUGAACCGCAUGGUUCAAAAGUGAAAGACGGUCUUGCUGUCACUUAUAGAUGGAUCCGCGCUGCAUUAGCUAGUUGGUAAGGUAACGGCUUACCAAGGCAACGAUGCAUAGCCGACCUGAGAGGGUGAUCGGCCACACUGAACUGAGACACGGUCCAG
rnacentral:rRNA from 1 species